UACGGAGGGUGCGAGCGUUGUCCGGAAUCACUGGGCGUAAAGGGCGCGUAGGCGGCGCGGUAAGCGUGCGGUGAAAGCCCGGGGCUCAACCCCGGGUCGGCCGUGCGGACUGCCGGGCUCGAGCACUGUAGAGGCGGGUGGAAUUCCGGGUGUAGCGGUGGAAUGCGUAGAGAUCCGGAAGAACACCGGUGGCGAAGGCGGCCCGCUGGGCAGUGGCUGACGCUGAGGCGCGACAGCGUGGGGAGCAAACAGG
rnacentral:rRNA from 1 species